AUACUUACCUUGUUCCGGCAUCCUCUGCUCAAGAUUAGAGGGUUCCAGUGUGGAAGGCCUGCAUUGCACAGCGCGGUGUCGCUCCAUGCUCCAUUGUCCUUCGGGGCCAUGGGGGGCGUAAUUUUUGAUUUAUUCCCUUGUUUUCAUCGUG
rnacentral:snRNA from 20 species